GAGCAAGAAGAGGCAGAACGCACAGGCGCUCGUAAAGAGGACGGGCAGGGAGUCAGGUUUAGCGGAGUCUCCUUUCUCGCUGGCUUCCUAACGCCAGGCUCCGGAGACGGAGCCGAGGCCGGUGGAGACGGGAAGGGCGGCCGAAGGCCGGCCCGGGCUUCCCACCCGCUCGCGCUUGCAGUUGUGCCCAAGUAAACAGCUCGCUGAAGGUCAGGGCACUGAUGCUGCCGACUGGUGUCACAUCAGCUGAUUUCACUUUCAUUUCCUCACUUGCCGGUGGCUCGUGACUUUUCAGAAAAAGGGAACGUAAACAACGUUGUUGUUGUUCACCAGAUCGCGUACUUUACCCACGCCCGAGCCGCCCGACCAGUUGACCCAAGGAGCCAGGCAAAAUUUCUGACCUGUCUCUGGAGCUGGUGGUGGGGACAAUGGCACUCUUCUCUCAGUGACACCCACUUUAGGAGUUGAGCUGUACGUGGAAAGAGGGCAGCAGUCUCAGGUCUUCUCUAUUUGCCUCUAGUGUGAUAUCACCAUUUCACAAGCUAAGCUUUAGAGCCAGAGAAGCCAUCAACCCAGAAGUGCCAAUGAGUGAAGAAAUAAUGGAUGAAAAUUUGAUGAAACUUCCCAAAUGUGAUGAAAGAUACGAUGUAAACAUCCAAGAAGCUCAAUGAGCUCCAAGUAAGAUGAACUCAAAAACCCACAAUGAAACACAUUGUAAUUAAUCUAAGAGAAAGAGAGAAUCUUGAAAGUAGCAAGAGAAAAAAAUUGUUACAUGGAAGAAUCCUCAAUAAGAUUAUUAGCAGAUUUCUCAUCAGAAACUGGAGGCCAGAAGACCAUAAACCAAUACAUUCAAAGUGCUUUUAAAAAGUGGCAUUAUUGUCCUUCAAAAGUUAGGAAGAAAUUAAGACAUUCCCAGAUAAACAAAAGCUGAAAGAGUUCAUGACCACUAGACACAUCCUGUAAGAAAUGCUCAAGAGAGUCCUACAAGGUGAAAAGACACUGGAAACUAACUUGAAUCUGUAGGGAGAAUAAAGAUCUGAACAGAGGCAAUUAUAAAAGCUAGCAUAUCACUGUAGCAAUGGUUUUAAAGAGCACUUUUUGUUUUCCAAUACAUUUAAAGAAAAACAAAGCAGUUAAUAAUACAGUUUCAUCCUGUUGUGAUCAGAGAAGAUACUCUGUAAGACAGCUAGCUUUUAAAAUCUUACUUAUUAAGACUUACUUACUUAUUAAGACUCACUAUUAACAAUUAUAUAGCAACAAAUUAGAUAAUAUAGAUAAAAUGGACAAAUUCCUAGAAACACAAAACCUACCAAGACUAUAUCACAAAGAAAUAGAAAAUAUGAACAGACCUAUAACUGAUAAUGAAUCAGCAAUAAAAACAUCUCCCAACCACAAACUGUAGACGUGAUGGCUUCACAGGAGAAUUCUACCAAACAUUUAAAGAACUAACAUCAGUACUUCUCAAACCUUUCUAAAAAACUCAAGAGUAGGGAACACUUCCUAACUCAUUCUAUGAGGCCAGCAUUAUCCUGAUACCCAAAGCCAUACAGACACUACAAGAACAAAAAAAUUUAUAGAUCAGCAUGUCUUAUGAACAUUAAUGCAAAAAAUCCUCAACAAAAUACUAGCAAAUAAAAAUCAGCAGCAUAUUAAAAGGAUUGUACACAAUGACCAAAUAGGAUUUAUUCCUGGAAUGUAAGGAUGGUUCAACAUAACCAAUUGAUCAGAAUGUAAGGAUGGUUCAAACGUAAGAAACUAAUGAACGUAAAACACCACAUCAACAUAAUAAAGGAAAAGACCUCACAUGAACAUCUCAAUUGAUGCAGAAAAGGCAUCUGACAAAAUUCAACACCUUUUCAUGAUUAAAAAACCCAACAGACAAGGCAUAGAAGGAAACCACCUCAACACAAUAAAAAAAACUAUAGCUGACAUGUUUGAUGGUGAAAUGCUGAAAGCAUUUCCUUUAAGAUCAGGAACAAGUAAGGAUGUCUGUUUUCAUCACUUCUAUUCAACACAAUACUGGAAAUUAUAGCCAGAGCAACUAAGCACAAAAAUGAAAUAGAAGGUAUCCAAAUGGGAAAGAAGUAAAACGAUCUCUGUAGAUGAUAUGAUCUUAUAUUUUAAAAACUCUAAAGAGUCCACAAAAAACCUGUUUGAACUAAUAAAUUAAGUCAGCAAUACAGCAAGAUACAAAGUUACCACACAAAAAUCAACUGCAUUUUUAUACACAAUUAGAGAACAACUUGAAAAGGAAAUUACAAAAGCAAUUCCAUGUACAAUAGCAUCAAAAAGAAUAAAAUACUUAGGAAUUAACCAAGAAGGUGAAAGAAAACUUCAUCUUCUUGUACAAAAAAACUACAGUGACUACAAAACAUUGUUGAAAGGAAUUAAAGAAGACAUAAGUACAUGAAAGCAUAUCUCUUAUUCAUGAAAUGUAAGUCCUAAUAUUAUUAAAAUAUCAAUAUUACCCAAAGCAAUCUAUGGAUUCAAUGCAAUCCCUAUCAAAAUCCCAAUGACUUUUCUUUUUUGCAGAAAUAGAAAAAUCCAUCCCAAUAUUCAAAGGAUCCCAAAUAGCCAAAAUAAUCGGGGGGGGGGGGAGGGUAGCGGUGGGGAAGGAACAAAAUUGGAGGGUUCAUACUUUGAUUUCAAAAUUUACUACAAGGCUACAGUAAUCAAAACAGUGUGGCAUUGGCAUAAAGAUAGCCAUAUAGACCAAAGAAAAAGAAUAGAGAGCCAAUAAAGAAAUCCUUGCAUACAGUCAAAUGAUUUUUGACAGGGGUGUCAAGACCAUUCAAUGGGUGAAGGACAGUCUUUUUAACACAUGAUGCUCAGAAAAUUGUAUCUCCACUUGCAAAAGAAUGGGGCCUUUACCUUAUACCAAACACAAAAAUUAACUCAAAAUAGAUCAAGGACCUAAAUGUAAGACCCAAAAGGAUAACACUUUUAGAAGAAAACAGGACAAAACUUCACAACACUGGAUUUGGCAAUGACUUAUUGGAUAUGAUACUAAAGGCUAAAAGCCAAUAAGGGCAGUACUGAGGUCUUCAGCCCAACAGCUUUUGAAGAACAGCUUUUGAAUUUUGUCAACAAUCAUGUAAGUGAGCUUAAAAGUGGAUCUUUUCUCAGUCAAGUCUUCAGAUGAGACCACCUGACCAACACCUUCAUUGCAGCCUUUUGAGAGACCUCAGACAGAAGCACAUAGUGAAGCCACUCCUGAGUCCCUGUCUCAUGGAAAUGGCAUGAAAAUAAGUAUCUGUUGUUUUGGGCAACUGCUUGGGGAAAUUUGUUGCUCAGCAAUAGAAAACUAAUACAACAUCCAUCUUACUCCAUUUCAGCUGCUAUAACAAAAUACCACAGACUGUGUGGCUAAAAAGAACAGGAAUUUAUUCCUCCUAGUUCUUCAGGCUGGAAGGUAGAGGUCAAUGUGCCAGUAUGGUCAGGUGAGCACUCUCUUUUGAGCUGCCAACCUCUCGUUUGUAUCCUCAUAUGGUAGAAGGGGCUAGGCAUCUCUCUGGAGCUCUUUUAAUAAGGCACUAAUCCAGAGGGCUCUGCCCCAUGACCUAAUCACUUCCCAAAGGGCCCACCUUCCAGGACCAUCAUAUUGGGCAUUAUAAUUUCAACAUAAUGAGUUUGGGGAAGAUAGAAUUAUUCAGACAAAGCAUUCUGUCCCUAAGCCCUCCAAAUUCAGGUCCUUCUCACAUGCAAAAUACAUUUAUUCCAUCCCAUUCCAUUCCAACAAGUUAAAGGUUUCCAAAAUACAGUGAUGGGACAGACAUAGGACAGACAUUCCCAAAGGGAGAAACAGAAAAGGAUGGAGUGCUGGGUUGCCAGUAAGGACAUAGAAAAAUCUAGCAAGGCAAAUUCAACAAGAUCUUAGAGCUCAAGAAUAAUCCUCUCUGGUUCAAUGGACUGCCUUCUGGACCUACUGGAGUGGCAACAUCACCCGUACGGCUUGGCAGGGUGCUGCUAAUGCCUGGCUCUCUGCUAGGGCACUGCCCACAAUGUAGGUCAUGGCUCGAGGCAGCUUGCCUUCAUGGCCUCUGUUAGAGGCUGUUUAUCCUGCUGAAAUCCAGGUGGUAGUGGCCCUGAUGAUCUCUUAGUUACCUCUGAGGCCAUUUUUCCCCCUUGUCUUGAAGAAGAGUGCAUGUUCACAAAUAGAUUUAUGGUACCGUACUGUAAAAUUCAGGCAGUCUGACAGCCUUCCUUCAUUCUGUCCUGUCUCCAACCCCUUCAGUUCAAGCUGGCAGUCUUCCUAAUGGGGUGGUUGAUUAGUUCUGUGGUUCAUACCCACACUAAUCUCCUUAUCAUACAGUUGAUCCCCACCACUCUUACUCUUCUUUUCUGAACACACGUUCCUAUUGUUUUGUAACAUGGGUAGGCUGAGAAUUUUUUAAAUCUUCACCUUCUGGUUCCUUUUCGCUUAACAAUUCCUUCUUCAUUUCUCUCUCCUUGUUUUCUACUAUAAGCAGUCAGGAGGAAUCAAGCUGCUCUUCAACACCUUACAAAGAAACUUUUUCAGCUAAAUUUCCAAUUUUAUCACUCACAAGUUCUACCUUCCAUGAAACGCUAUAGAACACAAACUCAAUACAGCCAAAUCCUUUACCAUUUUAUAGUAAGGAUUAAAUUUUCUCUACUGGUCAGUAACAUGUUCGUUUCUGUCUGAGAUCUCAUGAAAAUCACCCUUAAUAUUCAGAUUCCUACCAACGUCCUAUACACAAUUAGUUGUGUGUGUUUAAGAUGGAAACUUGCUCUACAGCUCCCCUUUUUUCUUUCUGAGUCCUUACCAGAAUCAUCUUGAGAAGUCCCUUCAUGGCAAUAUCAGCAUUUUCUAACAUGCACUUCAAAACUCUGCCAGACUCUACCAGUUAUCCAGUUCCAAAGCCACUUCCACAGUUUUAGGUAUUAGUUACAAUAGCACCCCACACUCGGUACUAAGAGAGUAGUGUCUUAGUUUGUCUUAGUCACUUCCUAACACCAUCACAUUGAUGGUUAGGGUUUCAACAUGUGUAGUAUUUGGUGGGGACAUAAGCAGUCCAUAACACCACCUGAACUUCCUUCUCCUCCUCCCACUCUAUAUUCCUCCUUAGGCACUUAUCACAUAUUAGGCACAUCAUAUAUUUUACUUAUCAUUAUUUUUUAUUUCUACCCACUAGAAUAUAAGCUAUGAAAGAGAAGGAUUUUUGUCUCAUUUUUUGUUCACUGCUCUAUCCCCAGCACACAGUUGAAGCUCAAUAUAUAGUUGUUAAAUAAAUGAAUAAAUGAACACUGGAUUUGCAGGCAUGUGAUGUAUGUGAUGCAUGUGAUGUAUGUCUCAUCAGCAAGUGGUUAAUUUGUAUUAACAAGUUGUUAACAAGUGGCUUUUGAGAAGUAAUCUCUCUGGAUCUUUAAAGUAAGAGUGUUAAAAAUCCUAAGGUUAGAAAAUUCUAUGAUUUGAUAUGUUACAUAAUCAGAAAAUAACAAUUACUGUUACACAAUAA